GAUGAACGCUGGCGGCGUGCCUAAUACAUGCAAGUCGAGCGAACAGACGAGAAGCUUGCUCCUCUGACGUUAGCGGCGGACGGGUGAGUAACACGUGGAUAACCUACCUAUAAGACUGGGAUAACUUCGGGAAACCGGAGCGAAUACCGGAUAAUAUAUUGAACCGCAUGGUUCAAUAGUGAAAGACGGUUUUGCUGUCACUUAUAGAUGGAUCCGCGCCGCAUUAGCUAGUUGGUAAGGUAACGGCUUACCAAGGCAACGAUGCGUAGCCGACCUGAGAGGGUGAUCGGCCACACUGGAACUGAGACACGGCCCAGACUCCUACGGGAGGCAGCAGUAGGGAAUCUUCCGCAAUGGGCGAAAGCCUGACGGAGCAACGCCGCGUGAGUGAUGAAGGUCUUCGGAUCGUAAAACUCUGUUAUUAGGGAAGAACAAAUGUGUAAGUAACUAUGCACGUCUUGACGGUACCUAAUCAGAAAGCCACGGCUAACUACGUG
rnacentral:rRNA from 1 species